GAUGAACGCUGGCGGCGUGCUUAACACAUGCAAGUCGAGCGAGAAGUUUUGAAAAGAUUCUUCGGAUGAAAUUUAAAAUGGGAGGGGGCGACGGGGGGAGCAACGCCUAGGCAACCUGCCCAAUACAAAGGACUAGCAUUAGGAACCGAUAAUUAAUACUUUUUGAAACUUAACUAGGGCAAGCUAGGUAGGUUAAGGAUUUAUCGGGAGGGGAUGGGCUUGCUUCUGAUUUGCUGGUUGGGGAGGGAAUGGCCAACCAAGGCGACGGUCAGUGGCCGGCCUGGGAGGGCGGCCAGCCACAUAGUAACUGAGGCACGGGCCAAACUCCUACGGGAGGAGGCAGUAGGGAAUAUUGCACAAUGGGGGAAAGACUGAUGCAGCAACGCCGCGUGAACGAGGAAGGCCGUUGGGUCGCAGAGUUCUGUUCUAGGGGAUGAAAACUGACAGUAACCUAUAAGAAAGCCCCGGCUAACUCCGUG
rnacentral:rRNA from 1 species